rnacentral:rRNA from 1 species
GUGCCAGCAGCCGCGGUAAUACGUAGGUGGCAAGCGUUAUCCGGAAUUAUUGGGCGUAAAGCGCGCGCAGGUGGUUUCUUAAGUCUGAUGUGAAAGCCCACGGCUCAACCGUGGAGGGUCAUUGGAAACUGGGAGACUUGAGUGCAGAAGAGGAAAGUGGAAUUCCAUGUGUAGCGGUGAAAUGCGUAGAGAUAUGGAGGAACACCAGUGGCGAAGGCGACUUUCUGGUCUGCAACUGACACUGAGGCGCGAAAGCGUGGGGAGCAAACAGGAUUAGAUACCCUGGUAGCCA